rnacentral:rRNA from 1 species
UACGGAGGGUGCAAGCGUUAUCCGGAUUCACUGGGUUUAAAGGGUGCGUAGGUGGGCAGGUAAGUCAGUGGUGAAAUUUCCGGGCUUAACCCGGAAACUGCCAUUGAUACUAUCUGUCUUGAAUACCGUGGAGGUGAGCGGAAUAUGUCAUGUAGCGGUGAAAUGCUUAGAUAUGACAUAGAACACCAAUUGCGAAGGCAGCUCACUACACGAAUAUUGACACUGAGGCACGAAAGCGUGGGGAUCAAACAGG